rnacentral:rRNA from 1 species
GUUGGGUAACACUAACUGGAGGACCGAACCGACUAAUGUUGAAAAAUUAGCGGAUGACCUGUGGCUGGGGGUGAAAGGCCAAUCAAACCGGGAGAUAGCUGGUUCUCCCCGAAAGCUAUUUAGGUAGCGCCUCGUGAAUUCAUCUCCGGGGGUAGAGCACUGUUUCGGCUAGGGGGCCAUCCCGGCUUACCAACCCGAUGCAAACUGCGAAUACCGGAGAAUGUUAUCACGGGAGACACACGGCGGGUGCUAACGUCCGUCGUGAAGAGGGAAACAACCCAGACCGCCAGCUAAGGUCCCAAAGUCAUGGUUAAGUGGGAAACGAUGUGGGAAGGCCCAGACAGCCAGGAUGUUGGCUUAGAAGCAGCCAUCAUUUAAAGAAAGCGUAAUAGCUCACUGGUCGAGUCGGCCUGCGCGGAAGAUGUAACGGGGCUAAACCAUGCACCGAAGCUGCGGCAGCGACACUAUGUGUUGUUGGGUAGGGGAGCGUUCUGUAAGCCUGUGAAGGUGUGUCGUGAGGC